GACAAACGCUGGCGGCGUGCCUAACACAUGCAGGUCGAGCGCGAAAGGGACCUUCGGGUCCCCUGAAAGCGGCGAACGGGUGAGUAACACGUGGGCAACCUGCCUCAAGGACUGGGAUAACUCCGGGAAACCGGGGCUAAUACCGGGCGAUGUCGUCUGACGCAAGUCGGCCGACCAAAUGGUAGCUUCGGCCUCCGCCUUGAGAUGGGCCCGCGUCCUAUCAGCUUGUUGGUGAGGUAAUGGCUCACCAAGGCUACGACGGGUAGCUGGUCUGAGAGGAUGAUCAGCCACACUGGGACUGAGAUACGGCCCAGACUCCUACGGGAGGCAGCAGUGGGGAAUUUUGCGCAAUGGGCGAAAGCCUGACGCAGCAACGCCGCGUGAGCGAAGAAGGCCUUCGGGUUGUAAAGCUCUGUCAGGGGGAAAGAAGGCACCUGGGUUAAUAGCCCAAGGGCUGACGGUACCCCCAAAGGAAGCCACGGCUAACUACGUGCCAGCCGCCGCUGUAACAC
rnacentral:rRNA from 1 species